rnacentral:rRNA from 1 species
AACGUAGGAGACAAACGUUAUCCGGAGUUACUGGGCGUAAAGGGCGUGUAGGUGGUGCUGUAAGUUCGGCGUGAAAUUUUUCGGCUUAACCGGGAAAGGUCGUCGGAUACUGCAGGACUAGAGGACGGUAGAGGCGUGUGGAAUUCCGGGUGUAGUGGUGAAAUGCGUAGAUAUCGGGAGGAACACCAGUGGCGAAGGCGGCUUCCUGGCCUGUUCUUGACGCUGAGGCGCGAAAGCGUAGGGGAGCAAACGGGG